AAAUACUAUACUCCCAGAUAUAAUUAAUCUUAAUUUAUAUAAUCUAGCAAUAGCAAUAUAGACAGGAUAACUAAUAUUUAUAAUAUCUUUGAAAUGAACCAUCUGAGUAAAAGAUUGAUUAAGUAGUAAUGGAGAAUGAAACUUAGUAAUAUAUAAUAGUACAGUGAUGGAAUAUAUUUAAGAGUAUAGUUAGAGCAUGUUAGAAAUAGCAGUACCUUUUGCAUAAUGGGCUAAUAAGUUAGUGGAGUAUUAAAUAAUAGUAUUUCACUAGACCCGAAAUAUCGUGAUCUAACCUACCACAAUUAUCAUAUGAAUGAACCAGAGUAUGUUGCAAUAUACUUGGAUGAUGGUAGGUUUGUAGAGAAAGUUAACUCUAACGAUAAGAUAACUGGUUUCCAUCGAAAUAAAUUUUAGUUUAGCUAUCAUAAUAAUAUAAUGUGUAGAGAAUGAUCCUUCUCAGAGAGUUGGAUUAUAACCUUCAAAGCAGAUAUGAUUAGUUAGUUUGAUUGCGAUAAGGUGAUUAAACAAGAUGGUAAUAAACAAUACUCUAUAAUAAUGACUGAAAGUUAUAAUUAAUAAAUUAAACAUCUUAUAAUGGCUCGUAGGUUUAGUAAUAACUAACGGAUUAAUAAGUAUGUAACAAUUUUACCAUUAGAUUCUAUAGAUGGAAUUAUUAACUAGUUUAAAUUAUACUCAGAAAUAAGAGUUACAGUGGAUUCUGCUGUAAGGUAGAUGGAAUUAAGAAUGUUAGCAUGAGUAACGAAAUAAAAAUAUAAUCUAAUAAGAAAGUUAACCGAGAUAAUACGACGAAUAAUUACUAAAACAGAGUAAAAUAAUCAAAAUAUAUAAUAGAUUAAGUCUAAUUAAUAUAAAUAAUAAUCGUGACCAAGGUGACACAACUUCUUUAUGAGUAGAAACUACUCGAGAUUAGCUAGUAAACUUUAGAAAAGGAAUUCGGCAAAUAUGUAGAGCAACUGUUUAUCAAAAACACAGUUCAUUGCUAAAUUAUAAUUAGAUGGUAUAAUGAAUGAAUCCUGUCCGGUGAUUAUCAUUGAUAAUUAAACGACGGUUUUAUCCUGAGAACUCUAAGGUAGCAAAAUACCUAGAUUUAUAAUUGAAAUCGUGCAUGAAUGGAGAAAUGAUUCUACUACUGUCUCUUUUAAAGGCUAGGUGAAAUUGAAUUAUAGGUGAAAAUACCUAAUAGGAUCUAUGGGACACGAAGACCCUAGCAGUUUAACCUGACACUGUUAAAUAUAUUACUAACGGUAGAAAGGUUUAAGUGGGGCGCUUUUUUCACAAAGAAUAACUGAAAAGAUCAAAGUUUAGUAAUAACGGUUAAAUCCUUAAACUAAAUUAAUUAUAUACCCAAUAAGGUAGUAAUUACUCACGUAAGAAUUAAUGAACAUUACUACAAACGUAGUAAGACAUCAAAUAAAAACUACGCUAGGGAUAACAGGGUAAUGUAAUCUUAGAGUAGAAAUCGAAGAUUGAUCUUACCACCUCGAUGUUGACUAGUCUUAGCUCAGGAAUUGUAGCAUUUCCUAAGAGUUCUACUGUUCGUAGAUUAAAAAGGCACUUGAGUUGAGUUCAAUACGGCGUAAGCCAGUAUGUCUGAUAUCUGUAGAUCUUAUGAUAGUAUAGAGAGAAAUAAGUUGUACGACAGGACUCUUAUUAAGUUAUCAAUGGUCGUUGUAAGGCUAAAUAACUAUGCAAUUAAGAACUGAUUAAAUAUGAAGUUGUUAAAUCUACUCUUAAUCUAUCACCUUAAUAUAGAUUUAAUGAUCUAUUCUA
rnacentral:rRNA from 1 species